ACACACACACACACACACACCCGUCAGAUGGAGAAUCCUGCAGAGAUUAUGAGAUAAAUAAGGACACAGAUUCAAUUAUGGCGUCCUCAUUGAGGACGCUCUGCAGGGGGGAGAGAUAGAGAGAGAGACUUGUGGGUAACGGAGGUCGGAGCCAGAAGGGGGAUGGAUGUUAAUCCUGACUGUACUGGGGCUUAGUGACCCAUCUCAAUCUGAUAGAAGGGAGACAGACAUCGUUUGUUGUACUGGGUCAAGCCAAAGUGUAUUUCUGCAUGUUGAUAGGUAUUUAUUAUUACUUAUUGGAAGUCUGAGGCUCAGAUUGUCCCUGAGGAAGACCAAGGCAAUAAAAGCAUGAUGAACUACGCACACGGAACGGUCAGUAUCUGUGCCUGUGGGAAGAGGUAAAACACACACACUAAUAGGUAGGGCUGGUAAUUGCCAGGGACCUCACGAUACAAUAUUAUCACUAUACUUAGGUGCUGAUACGAUUGGUAUUAUGUUCCAAACAUACUGCUCACCAUAUGUCUGCUGCAGAAGGACAAGAACAUUUGCUUUGAUCAGUCAUAGAAAUAAAAGUGCUGAAAACAUGUUGGCUCCCUGUUUAAAAACAAGAUGGAGAACAAGCUAUGAAGUAAAAAUACUGGAGUUUUGGUGCAGGUACAGCCAACUAGCUCAAAAAUUAUAUUUUGCGAUAUUGUCAAAACGAUACAUUUCAUCAAUAACAACAUCCCGAUAUGAAACUGUAUUGAUCUCCCCCCAUCACGACUAAUAGGGGACAUAGUUUGUUGGUAUGGGUGUAGAAACAGGCAGUACACCGUAGAGGAACAGGUUGUAGUGGAUGUGUAGAAACAGGCAGUACACCCUAGAGGAACAGGUUGUAGUGGAUGUGUAGAAACAGGCAGUACACCGUAGAGGAACAGGUUAUAGUGGAUGUGUAGAAACAGGCAGUACACCCUGGAGGAACAGGUUGUAGUGGGACGUGUAGAAACAGGCAGUACACCCUGGAGGAACAGGUUGUAGUGGGACGUGUAGAAACAGGCAGUACACCCUGGAGGAACAGGUUGUAGUGGAUGUGUAGAAACAGGCAGUACACCCUGGAGGAACAGGUUGUAGUGGGACGUGUAGAAACAGGCAGUACACCCUGGAGGAACAGGUUGUAGUGGGACGUGUAGAAACAGGCAGUACACCCUGGAGGAACAGGUUAUAGGGGGACGUGUAGAAACAGGCAGUACACCCUAGAGGAACAGGUUAUAGGGGGACGUGUAGAAACAGGCAGUACACCCUGGAGGAACAGGUUAUAGGGGGACGUGUAGAAACAGGCAGUACACCCUGGAGGAACAGGUUAUAGUGGGACGUGUAGAAACAGGCAGUACACCCUGGAGGAACAGGUUAUAGUGGGACGUGUAGAAACAGGCAGUACACCCUAGAGGAACAGGUUAUAGGGGGACGUGUAGAAACAGGCAGUACACCCUAGAGGAACAGGUUGUAGUGGGACGUGUAGAAACAGGCAGUACACCCUGGAGGAACAGGUUAUAGUGGGACGUGUAGAAACAGGCAGUACACCCUAGAGGAACAGGUUGUAGUGGAUGUGUAGAAACAGGCAGUACACCCUGGAGGAACAGGUUGUAGUGGGACGUGUAGAAACAGGCAGUACACCCUGGAGGAACAGGUUAUAGGGGGACGUGUAGAAACAGGCAGUACACCCUGGAGGAACAGGUUGUAGCGGGACGUGUAGAAACAGGCAGUACACCCUGGAGGAAAAGGUUGUAGCGGGACGUGUAGAAACAGGCAGUACACCCUGGAGGAACAGGUUGUAGUGGGACGUGUAGAAACAGGCAGUACACCCUGGAGGAACAGGUUGUAGUGGGACGUGUAGAAACAGGCA